UCCGAUAUGGUGUAGUGGCUAACAUCGCUCGCUCUCAUUAAGUGUACCGAGCAGCCCUGGGUUCGAUUCCCAGUAUCGGAG
rnacentral:tRNA from 2 species